ACGAGUUAGGGUCUUUCAGGCCCGACCUCCCAACCCUAUGUUUAUUGAACCUCUGUUGCUUCGGCGGACCCGUCUCACGGCCGCCGGAGGACCGCUGCGAGGCGUCCUCUGGCCAGCGUCCGCCGAUGGCCAACCCACUAAACUCUGAAUGAAUCGUGUCAUAUGUCUAAGUCUAUGAUUAAAUUAAAGCA
rnacentral:misc_RNA from 1 species